rnacentral:rRNA from 1 species
UACGGGGGGGGUAAGCGUUGUUCGGAAUUACUGGGCGUAAAGGGCUCGUAGGCGGCCAACUAAGUCGGACGUGAAAUCCCUCAGCUUAACUGGGGAACUGCGUCCGAUACUGGAUGGCUUGGAUUUGGGAGAGGGAUGCGGAAUUCCAGGUGUAGCGGUGAAAUGCGUAGAUAUCUGGAGGAACACCGGUGGCGAAGGCGGCAUUCUGGACCGAUAUUGACGCUGAGGAGCGAAAGCCAGGGGAGCAAACGGG